rnacentral:rRNA from 1 species
AUUGAACGCUGGCGGCAGGCCUAACACAUGCAAGUCGAACGAGUGGCGGACGGGUGAGUAAUGUCUGGGAAACUGCCCGAUGGAGGGGGAUAACUACUGGAAACGGUAGCUAAUACCGCAUACCAUCGGAUGUGCCCAGAUGGGAUUAGGUAGUUGGUGAGGUAACGGCUUACCUAGGCGACGAUCCCUAGCUGGUCUGAGAGGAUGAUCAGCCAAACGGGAACUGAGACACGGCCCAGACUCCUACGGGAGGCAGCAGUGGGAAAUAUUGCAUAAUGGGCGCAAGCCUUAUGCAGCCAUGCCGCGUGUAUGAAGAAGGCCUUCGGGUUGUAAAGUACUUUCAGUCGGGAGGCGUUACCGACAGAAGAAGCACCGGCUAACUCCGUGCCAGCCGCCGCGGUAAUAC